UUAAACUAUUCCUUUUAAUGUGUACUAUUUGUGAUGUGUACGUGAUGCUUUGCUAUGUGAACUACCUUUGAAUGUUUUAAAUGUAUCUAUAAAUGCUUAAGUUUGAAUACUAAGUUAACUUCUAUUUGAGUUCCUUGGCUUGAAUACAUAUUCAAUUACGGGAAGACGAAAGAUACCUCAAAUUGUGACUCUACAUUCACAUGAAGAUGUAGGUUGUCAGGUUGCUAUUGACGAAAUUGUUAGAACUCCACCGAAUAUGGUUGCAUCAGUAAGUCUAGAAGAACCAAUAAUGCAGAGAAUCCAGAGAGUAAAAUUGUUGAUGCUAAGUAUUGUUUUAUUAUUGUUUUCUAUUGAGGCUUGUUUUCUAAUAGUCAUUUUGUGUUACACAAAUCAAAUUAGUGACAAAUUUUACAUAUGUGUUAUAGACUAUCAAUGGAGAAGUACCGUCAAGAGCUAGGGUUUUCUUGGAUGCUCGUAAAGAACGUAAAAUUGUUCCAACGUCAAUGGAUGAAAAAUCAAAACAAGCUGUGGAAAUGAUAAAUGACAAUAAUCCAUGACCAGAUUAUUUUAAUCAAGUAGGGAGAAUUCGUCUAUAUUAUUCGAUCAUGAAGGUUUGAUGCUGAUUUUGGAAGCUAGUGAAGAG